GUUUCAAGCCGGGCGGAGCGGCCGCGGCCAAGGCACAGUUCCGGCCCAUUUCCAUACCAUCCUCCAAUAGAAACACGGGUUGCUUCUGAUUGACUCCGCCCAUAACCAACAGCGGUCGAGGAGGCGCCUCUAGGAAGAGUGUUUCUAGCCAAAAUUUGAUAGAAGAAAAGAAGAAAAGAGACAAGGGAGUAAAGUUGUUUACCUCAGAGAAGGCGUAUUGCUAAAUGCUAACCACAGGGACUUUGUUAAGAAACCACACGUGUACAGAGCUGCAGAAUGUCACAACAUAGUAUUGCUCCUCUUGCCCUAUUUUCUUCCUGUUCAGCAUUUGCUACCUGGCUUUCAAUAUCGUGCAAGGCUGUCAUCCAGUGAAACUGCACAAAAGGGCCAACAGAGGUUCAAACGGUGGGAGCAGAGGAAAAUAAGUUAGUCCUGGGAUUCAGUGGAGUGGAAGGAAGGGUGCCCCUAGAUUUGAUGUGCAGAGGCAGCCUGGGGACAACAGAUGCUUGAACUGACAGUAUUGCCAUUCAAGGCAGAGGCAUUAGCACUGUGCGAGGUGGAAAGAUAGCUCUGGAGACCCACUGAGGAGUUAUCACUUUAGGAGAUAUCAGGAAGUAUGAGAGAGUUGGAUGAACCAAGGCCACAAAAAAGAUGGAGCCAGGGGCCUUUUGUUGGUCUUGGCACAUUCCACAACUUGAAGUGUGGGAAGCAGGUGAAUGGACUCCUGCUGGGAACAAGGCUGUUCUGCAGCUGAACACACAGAGAUCUAGUUCUCUUUUGUUACCUGUGGGCAUGUUUCCAUGCGGGCUCAGAUCUAGACAGAUCUUCCAUCAAGUAUUGUCUAGGCUCAGCCUCGGAUUACAAAAUCCAAUGAGAUCACAGGAAGCAGCAGGCAGAUCCUUCCCCAAGGCUGUGGAAAACAUCGCCAGUGAAACAGCGGCAAAAGCAAGGAGUCAGGAGAGGAGAGAUACAGGGAAGAGACAGUGAUUGAAGAUAUGUUGCUCCGAGCAGCAGGAGGUGCUUUGCUGUAGGAACCCUGAGUCACUCUUAGCCUCCUGCAGAGAAUAUUUCACCCAUGUUUGUCAUCGCCUUCCUGGAAGCACUCACCCUACACCCAAGUUACAAUGUUGCUGCAGGACAGAUUGCCCAGCCAGGAAAUUAUUUGAUUUGUAAUAGCCCCAUUCAGCACGACAGGACUCAAAGUACUGUACAAAUAUAUUCUAGCGGCCACUGAUCAUGCUUAUAAUAGUUAAGGUUGCAAAGUAGUUUGCAUUAUAUCCCACACACACACACAUCUUGUUUUCAGAGGAUUAUAACUUUCCAAAACAUUCAUUUUUAUGGGCUGAAAUUUGCUAUGCUUGGUUUCUCCUCACAGGUGAAUAUUGCUGGAAAGUUUGGGCCAAAACUAUUCAGUCAUUUCUGAGUUAUGGCAGGGUGAAAAAAAGCCAUUUUUGCACAACUAUAUAAAAAAAAAAUGUUGGACUGUUGCAACUGUUUCUUUUCCAGCAUCACUCAACACUGGCUAAACUUUGAAAGAUUGAACUUGGCGUAAGCAGCAGCCCUAAUGAGCAGAAAGAGCUCUGGCAAUUUGCUUAAAAAUUCAGAUAAACGAAACAACACACUUAUAUAAACAUUAGAAAACACGCUCCAGCAUGUGCGCUGUAUAACACUCCAUGAACAGUGACUCUGCCCCGUUAGCCAGGACUGUGGAGCCAGUUAUCUGUGCAGGGCCAUGCACUCUGAACCAUGGUUAAAGCUGAUCAAAACCAGAGUGGGAGCUCACCCACUCUCGUCAGCACAGGUCUGGGUGUUAAGUGGUAAAGCAGCAGUGCCCUGCCCUGCAGUAGGGGAAAGAGAACAAAUGUAGCCAAAAGAAGUUCCUGCCUCUCCCCGCAAGGCCCCAGCAGGCUGCCUGUGCUCCUUGUGCAGAACUGGUUUAGGAACAUCAGUAGUUUUCCAAUCUCUGUGUCCAGCAGGAUAGAGACUCUGUGUUGAUGUAAUACAAACAAGUCUAGGAAGUCUGGGGGCAUCGUCCCUGGAAAGUGCUGAUGCAUUUUAGACAAUGUUAAGUUGAUUUUAAAAAAAGGUUUUAUGCAAAAACCUUGUUUGGUGCAUUCCUUCUCUGUCCUUCUCCCUGGGGGAGACGGAGCUGGUGCAGGGGAGGGGAGUAGGGUUCUCCUACAGAAGGAGCUGGCCGGAGAUGGAUCUUCCCACAAGA